rnacentral:rRNA from 1 species
GACGAACGCUGGCGGCGUGCUUAACACAUGCAAGUCGAACGGAAAGGCCCUGCUUGCAGGGUACUCGAGUGGCGAACGGGUGAGUAACACGUGGGUGAUCUGCCCUGCACUUCGGGAUAAGCCUGGGAAACUGGGUCUAAUACCGGAUAGGAGCCAUUUUUAGUGUGAUGGUUGGAAAGUUUUUUCGGUGUAGGAUGAGCUCGCGGCCUAUCAGCUUGUUGGUGGGGUAAUGGCCUACCAAGGCGGCGACGGGUAGCCGGCCUGAGAGGGUGGACGGCCACAUUGGGACUGAGAGACGGCCGAGACUCCUACGGGAGGCAGCAGUGGGGAAUAUUGCACAAUGGGCGCAAGCCUGAUGCAGCGACGCCGCGUGGGGGAUGACGGCCUUCGGGUUGUAAACUCCUUUCGCUAGGGACGAAGCUUUUUGUGACGGUACCUAGAUAAGAAGCACCGGCUAACUACGUG